UAAGGAAUCUUCCGCAAUGGACGCAAGUCUGACGGAGCGACGCCGCGUGCGCGACGAAGCCCUUCGGGGUGUAAAGCGCUUUUCUCAGGGACGAUACAAGACGGUACCUGGGGAAGAAGCCUCGGCUAACUACGUGCCAGCAGCCGCGGUAAUACGUAGGAGGCAAGCGUUGUCCGGAAUUACUGGGCGUAAAGAGCGUGUAGGCGGUCCGCGAAGUCUGUUGUGAAAGCGCCUGGCUUAACUGGGCGAGGUCGACGGAAACUCGCGGACUGGAGGCCGGUAGAGGGGGGUGGAAUUCCCGGUGUAGUGGUGAAAUGCGUAGAGAUCGGGAGGAACACCAGUGGCGAAGGCGGCCCCCUGGGCCGGGCCUGACGCUGAGACGCGAGGGCGUGGGGAGCGAACGG
rnacentral:rRNA from 1 species